rfam:Capsicum annuum cultivar Zunla-1 chromosome 8, whole genome shotgun sequence
AUGUCAUGAUGUGGAGAUUUUCUUAUCAUCGCUUUUAAUCUUUCCCAAUACUGAUAAACUGAUUCAUACCAGUCUUCAAGAAAUUAGAAAUUUCUUGUCUUAACUU